CAAUGGGAGCAGAUGUGAACAUGGAACUCAUGCUGCCUGUCAUGCCAUGAGUACAAAAUGUCUAACCAUUGGGGUUGUUGUUUCCAUCCCCACAGCUUUUGGAAGUGUAUCAAGUCAGUUCCGUAUGCGCUCAAGCCCUUGACAAGACCUGGACACAUGACUCAAGAACAAAAUGGUCAAAGUAUGUGAAAUGGAGACUCGCAGAAGGGGAAAUCUGAACAAAUAAGAACACAUGGCAAGCAUCUGGAGUCUUGUGAAUGAAGACAGGAUGAAGUUUCCAUCUCUUACUGCAUUACCCUGUCCUUCUACCUUAGAAGCAUGACUUAAAACAACUACAAAAAAAACGGCUUUUCUUAUCCACCAGGGAAGACCCUUUGAAGUGGGUGGUCAAGCCAUUCCUCCAUUUUUAACCACAUUCCUACCUAAAAAGAGCACUUGGAGCUCCUUCUGGCACAGCCUGCCGUAUGCCCUCUUCUUGGACAUAUCUGCUGCCGCAUAGAGAGAGCGUCAGGAGGUCCACGUGGCUGGGAAUUUCUAGACAUUCAGCCUAGGAGUAUGGAGAAAGCAAUGACCGGAAGCUGGAUUUGAAGGCACCGUAAGGAAGGCAUUUCUUACAAGGUAACCUACGGAUGCAACUGUCUCUAGGUAGGUGACGUGCCCUUGUUGAUGCUGAGACUGGAACACUUGGUGGGAACUCAAAGCGACUCAAACACAUAUAGAAACCGGGCAGUAGAUGGUUGGCCAGAGACUGACUGUAUAUGGCUUGUAAUUCGUUUCUACUUUGAACUUAAAUUAUGUAGGAAAGGAAUACGCUUCAGCAGCAGAAGAAUUGAGUGUAUCAACAAUGCCUACAAGUCUGAAGGAGCCACUCUGCAUUUUACGUAAAUCUUCUUUCCUUCAAAGGGGCUUCAAAGUACCGGCAGACAAUGGACACGUGCUCUGUGCCUCUUGCUCCGAGGACGGAGACACCACUGCAUUAGGGGAGGCCUGACGUUAGCCUUCUUUCUCUCACUUUUCCCCCAGUCCCAGCUCUUAUUUCAGGAUCAUAUGAGAUUUACGCAAGAUCCUGCUCGCCUCCCUAAUCAGGGAAGACAGAGGAGAUUCAAGUUCCUGGGGAAGGGGAAGCUGCUGUUGAGCAGAAGGCAAUGGGAGAGUGAUCUGGGACAGAGAACGCGGGUGCGGGUGU